rnacentral:lncRNA from 1 species
GUUCCCAGGCUAGGGGUCGAAUCGGAGCUGCAGCUGCCACCCUACACCACAGCCACAGCAAUGCAGGAUCCAAGUCGCAUCUGCAACAUACACUACAGCUCAUGGCAGUGCCAGAUCCUUAACUCACUGAGCAAGGACAGGGUUUGAACCUGCAUCCUCAUGGAUACUAAUCAGAUUCACUUCUGUGGAGCCAUGAUGGGAACUCCCAGAGGGUCUUUUAAUAUAUUAAAAUCCUCAAGUUACCAAGUCACAAAGCUGGGAUGUGAAUAUAGUUCUGCCCAGACUCCAGAUCUUCCCUGUCCAUCACUCUGCUUCUCUGAAUAUCAUGUGGGAUUAUGGUGUUUUAGGAAAGGGUUUAUGUAUGUUAGUGCUUUUCACUGGCUUUCUAUUCUCUCGUAACAUUUGAGUGAUGGUUGAAAGAAACUAAAAUAAAUAAGCAAAAAUACUAAUGAGAUACCUCAGUACAAUUACCAGAUUCACCCCAAACUAAAAUGACUGACAAUACUAAAUGAUGGCAAGAAUGUGGAGUAACCAGAACUCUCACACAUUGCUUAUGGGAGUGGAAAUGGUGCAACUGCUUUAGAAGAAGGCCUGACAAUUUCUCUUAAAUCUAAACAUACACCUACCCUAUGACCUGGCAAUCCUAAUCCUAGGUAUUUUCCCAAGCUAAAUAAAAACUUUGUCCACAGAAAGACUUUACGAAUAAAGCUGCUAUGAAAAUUUUUAUAAUGGCCUCAAACUGGAAAAAAGCAUAGUUCUUUAUGAAUAGAGACUAAACAAACUGUAGUCAGAAUACUCUUUAGCAAUAAGAAGGAAUAAGCUACUGUUGUCUGUGAAAACGUGGAAAAAUCUCAAAUAUUUCACGCUGAGAGAAGUUUUAAUAAGAGUACAUAUGGUUUGAUUAUAUUAUAUGAUGUUCUGGGACAAUCAAAAUAAAUCUAUAGUGAUGGUUCUCUUCCCCAAACACAGUGACCUUUUUAUCAGGGAUGCUAAUAAAUGAUGGGCAAGAAUUUAAGGAGGCAUCUGCGUAUCAUGUAUAGACAACAGUGUCUCUCCUCAAGAGACCUUGGUUUCCCUAGGGAGCUUUGUGGAGGAUUAAAUGACUUAUGAUUUAUGUCCACCCUGUGGGCAGUUUCCUCUGCAACUUGAGUUAUCCAGUUAGAAAAGCCAAUAUGAAAUCUGCUCCAGCAUUAGCUGAAGUGAUUCAUGACACCACUUCAGCCCUGGAAGGAAGUCAGGCCAGCUUGAACUUGCUGGCUUGAGUUGUGCUGGAUGAUAAAAUUACCCUUGACUUCUUCCUUGUGGCCAAUGCAGAGUCUGUGUAGUCCCUAGUACAUCCUGCUGUACAUAGAUUAAUGCUUUGGGACAAGCAGAAAUGUCAAUACACAGACUUAAGGAAAGAGAAAGCUACCUGGAUAACUAAUAUAAACUCUUGUGGUUUAUCAGAAUUGUUCAGCUGAAUGGGUCUGGGACCCUGACCGGGGCAUGAUCAAAAUCAAUACUGCUUGAAGUUGUGUUGAGAGCAGUUUUAAUUAAAUGCUGUGUUACACACAUUGAAUGGAUUUUGUCCCAGCCACUAAGUAGUGACUGACAGAGAAGUAUACUAAUGGGACAGUUCAUCAGAAGCCAAUGUGGUGCAGAAAUGUGUGUAAGACAACUCUCCAUGUGUGUUUGGUAUUUCGGCAGGCUUCUUUGUUCCAGAAUAUCUUUUCAAGGAUGUAAUGCAGUGUGCUCACUGCCUAUUCUAAAAGGUUCAGGUUCCCUAAGGAUCUAGGAUCAAUCUUGAUACUAGUUGUUUAAAAUAAGGCAGAAUUCAGGGCAAUUCGUGAGGAAGUCAUCCUGCUCAAAUGGGAGUCAGCAACAUCUGGGCACUUUUUAGGCAGCUGUAUUUGAACCCACUUCUCCAUUUAUUUUUCUCCCUUAACAAGCAGUGCGUUGAAGGACUAUUUAUUUCCCCUAGGCCACACAAUUUGAUUAACAUAUUUACUACCAAUUCCCAUAAACUUCUCUCAUAUUUUGUGAAACGCCUUUAUCCUCCUCUUCCAAAAACCCAUGUGUUUAUGAUACCUGAACAUGCAGUAGCUUGCAUUUUUAGGAAAGAAUCCUGAAUUUAAGAUGCCUGAAUCUUUUAUAAUGGGAACAUUGCAUGCUUGCCUCCGCUUCAGGGGAAAACACUCUCUGUCUUCCGAGGCUAUCCAUGAUAUAAAAAUCCUCCAAGAUUGUCCAGAGUAAGGAAGAGUCCAUAGCUUGCAGUAUGUGCAUAAAUGUGAGAGACCCACAGAGAACUGUCUCCCAACAAGUCACAAUGCAUGGUUUCACAGUUCCAUGACCCGUCGACAUCAGUGACCUUCACCUCCACUUCAUUUCACCUCCCUCUCCUCACAACUUUCCACUUGACUUGGUCUCACCUGAAAGUUUUCUUGCCAUAGAAUACUAAAUCUCUUUAACAUCCAGCCCUGACCCAUAUCUUCCCACCUCUUUGUUCCUCACUGAGACCAAACAUUCUGGAAUUGUAUCAGGCUUUCUCUCCCUUCAAGUGCCUCUUAUUUUCUGAGUCCAUCUUUCCUUCCUGGUUUCACCCAUUUCCUUCUCAGCCGAAGCCCUGAGUUCCUUCUCACUAGAAGCCUCAAGGCCCUUGCCCCGAUUGCCUCUGUCAUACUUAUUUUGACACUUGACAGCUCUGGAUUAUCUACCACUUCCUUUCUGUAUCUGAUGGCAAGCAUCCAAACAAAUAUGGAGGAAAUUGACCUUGUUGACAAAAGCAUCAAGCAUGCUGAUUUCUAAUAUCAGCAGCUUCAGUCCAUCCUCCUGGUUUGACUUCUUACCUGUAAAAUAUUAUGGAGAGACAGUAAGCACCACAGCAAUGAAAACUGGACUAGGCCUCAGAUAAUGGACAUAAUAAAAUUCUUAUUAUAAUGCCAGCAAUAAAUAUGAAGCCCUUUUCUGUUGUACAUCUAGCUGGGAAAUGAACCAAAAGUAUUUUAAAUUUACUAAAGUGAAAACAAUUAAUCCUUUCUUGAAGGUAGAUGAAAAUACAGUCCCAAAUAACAUACCUGAUCUAUAUUGUGGUUAUUUUUAUGGAAUUUCUGUCUUAAGUUCAGGGAAGUAACUUUGCAAGGUGACUUGAAAAUUUUACUGUUUUUCAUUUUGUUAUUUUCCAUUAGACAGCUAAACACAUUUUAAGUUUCAAGAGCUUUUGCCAUUAAGGUGGGUGAAGAAAAUAUGACAGUGAAUACUCACAUGAUGGUUUUAGUUUAUGAUGCAUUUCAAGCUUUGCCUCUCUAACAGUUAAAUCCUUCAGCGUUCUUUUUGUGGGGGUGAAACACCAUAUAGUUUAGGAAACUAAACUUUUGUUUCAAAGAGAAGAGUGAAGUUUUAAGUCAAUUGAUAGAAGUAUAGAGUAUGGUGGAUUUUAGGAGGGAGAACUGAAAUCGACAAGGUAUAAGCAUUUUGAUCUUUAUACUCUGUCUUCUCUUCCUCAGGGCAGUUUGUACUCAACAUCAAAUGUAUUCAACAUCAAAUUUCUUAUUCAAAAUCAAAUAGAUGCUAUGUAGUGGACUCCUGAUAUUUACAUUCAGGAUAAUUAUUGGGCAGGAAGUCAAAAGGUAAUAAAACAGACAGUGUGUCAAACUGGAACAAUAAAAGAAAGGCACCAGCCAGAAUGAACAUAAGAAAACCUGUAUGAUUGAUGCACAGGAAUAGACCUGAAAUUUUGGUUGUGUUAGGGAGGUUUUAUUUAUUAGUAAGUUUUCUUAAAAUUUAGAAAGUUUUUUUUUUCUCCUGCAGAGCAAUGUUAAAAAUGGUAGAUUCAUAGUCUUGAAAUCAAAAACCAAUUUGUCUUGCUAUGAAUCUGAACCUUAGAAACUAUAAUACUCUCAAGUCAAUGAGUAAUCUUAAAAUAAUUAAGGGUGCUGCUUCCCAGAGUUGAGGAAGGUUUAAGACUUGAUUGCUGAGUUUGCAUUGUGGCUCAGUGGUAACAAACCUGACUAGUAUCUAUGAGGACACGGGUUUGAUCCCUGGCCUUGCUCAGUGGGUUAAGGAUCCAGCAUUGCCGUGAGCUGUGGUGUAGGUCACAGGUGUGGCUUGGACCCUGCAUUGCUGUAGCAUAGGCCAGCAGAUGCAGCUCUGAUUUGACCCAUAGCCUAAGAACUUCCAUAGGCCGCCAGUGUGGCCAUAAAAAGACAAAAAGAAAAAAGUUAGCUAUUCCUGGCUGCUCAGUUAAUUUAGGUGAGCUGCUUAAUCUCUGCGGGUAUUCUUGAAGUAAAGAAGGUGAAUUUGAUAAUCCUAUAUGUUUAUUUUUUUAAAGAUUUUUAUUUUAUCCAUUGUAGUUGAUUUACAGUAUUCUUUCAAUUUCUACUAUACAGCAAAAUGACCCUGUCAUACUUUAUAUAUAUUUUCUCCCAUUAUCCUCCAUCAUGUUCCAUCCCAAGUGACUAGAUAUAUUUUUUCUGUGCUAUACAGUGGGAUCUCAUUGCUUAUCCACUCCAGAUGCAAUAGUUUGUAUCUAUUAGCUCCAAACUCCCAGCCCAUCCACUCCCUCUCCUGAAAUAAGGCCAUUUGCAGCAACAUGGAUGGAACUAGAGACUUUGUACUAAGUGAAGUAAAUCAGAAAGACAAAUACCGUGUAUCACCUAUAUCUGGAAUCUAACAUAGGGCACAAAUGAACCUUUCCACAGAAAAGA